UACGUAGGGUGCAAGCGUUAAUCGGAAUUACUGGGCGUAAAGCGUGCGCAGGCGGUUGUGCAAGACCGAUGUGAAAUCCCCGGGCUUAACCUGGGAAUGGCAUUGGUGACUGCACGGCUAGAGUGUGUCAGAGGGGGGUAGGAAUUCCACGUGUAGCAGUGAAAUGCGUAGAGAUGUGGAGGAACACCGAUGGCGAAGGCAGCCCCCUGGGUCAAGAUUGACGCUCAUGCACGAAAGCGUGGGGAGCAAACAGG
rnacentral:rRNA from 1 species